rnacentral:rRNA from 1 species
UAACGCGAAGAACCUUACCAGGUCUUGACAUCCUUUGAAGCUUUUAGAGAUAGAAGUGUUCUCUUCGGAGACAAAGUGACAGGUGGUGCAUGGUCGUCGUCAGCUCGUGUCGUGAGAUGUUGGGUUAAGUCCCGCAACGAGCGCAACCCUUAUUGUUAGUUGCCAGCAUUCAGAUGGGCACUCUAGCGAGACUGCCGGUGACAAACCGGAGGAAGGCGGGGACGACGUCAGAUCAUCAUGCCCCUUAUGACCUGGGCUACACACGUGCUACAAUGGCGUAUACAACGAGUUGCCAGCCCGCGAGGGUGAGCUAAUCUCUUAAAGUACGUCUCAGUUCGGAUUGUAGUCUGCAACUCGACUACAUGAAGUCGGAAUCGCUAGUAAUCGCGGAUCAGC